AGUGAACGCUGGCGGUAGGCCUAACACAUGCCAGUCGAACGGCAGCACAGUAAGAGCUUGCUCUUACGGGUGGCGAGUGGCGGACGGGUGAGGAAUACAUCGGAAUCUACUUUUUCGUGGGGGAUAACGUAGGGAAACUUACGCUAAUACCGCAUACGACCUACGGGUGAAAGCAGGGGAUCUUCGGACCUUGCGCGAUUGAAUGAGCCGAUGUCGGAUUAGCUAGUUGGCGGGGUAAAGGCCCACCAAGGCGACGAUCCGUAGCUGGUCUGAGAGGAUGAUCAGCCACACUGGAACUGAGACACGGUCCAGACUCCUAAGGGAGGCAGCAGUGGGGAAUAUUGGACAAUGGGCGCAAGCCUGAUCCAGCCAUACCGCGUGGGUGAAGAAGGCCUUCGGGUUGUAAAGCCCUUUUGUUGGGAAAGAAAAGCAGCAGGUUAAGACCCCGCUGUUCUGACGGUACCCAAAGAAUAAGCACCGGCUAACUUCGUG
rnacentral:rRNA from 1 species